AGAAAAUAUGGUGAUAACAGCUAGACAACCCUCUUCCCAGAAGAGCAACACUGCCCUACGCAUUCCUUGCUUAAACCCAACCCAAUUCUUCAAUUAAACAUUCCAUGUUUUUGACCUUGCAACCUGUUAAAAACAAAAUCCCUUGAUGACCCAUUGAGCCUCCAUUUAGCCAUGAAAGUCUCGCUGUGAGAAGUGGAGCGUCCAUCUGUCAACAAUGAGUCACUGUCCAGGCCUUUGCAAGCUUGGUAAAUAUAUAGUGUGAAGUCUUAAGGUACAUCGAUGGAUUAGUCCUCGCCUCAGGUCAACA